GACGAACGCUGGCGGCGUGCUUAACACAUGCAAGUCGAACGAAGUGGCGAACGGGUGAGUAAUACGUGGGUAACUGCCCUCCUUUUUGGGAUAAGCCUUGGAAACGGGGUCUAAUACCGAAUAAAGGGGGAUGACUCGCGUCCUAUCAGCUUGUUGGUGGGGUAGCGGCCUACCAAGGCGACGACGGGUAGCCGGCCUGAGAGGGCGACCGGCCACAGUGGGCUGGGAUACGGCCCAAACUCCUACGUGGGGCAGCGGUGGGGAAUAUUGCGCAAUGGGGGAAACCAUGGUGCAGCAUCGCCGCGUGCGAGAUGACUGCCUUCGGGGUAGAAACCGCUUUCAGCCAUGACGCGGUAGUGGCAGAAGAAGCACCGGCUAACUACGUGCCAGCAGCCGCGGUAAUUC
rnacentral:rRNA from 1 species